rfam:Epulopiscium sp. Nuni2H_MBin001 Nuni2HMBin001_67, whole genome shotgun sequence.
GAACGCCGUAUGAGGUGAAAGUCUCAAGUACGGUGCGGAGCGGGGGAAAAACGGGAGAUAAUAUCAAAGGUUUACCUAUCGCUAU